UGUUUGGAGCAUAAAUGCAGUCCCAUUUUAGAUCGCUCUUUAUCGCAGGUGUGCAACGCGUGGAUGCGAUUCCUUGUCAUGGACCUAUGAUGCCCAAGUUCGUGCCGCGAUUCCUGGGUGUGGAAACACUACCCACAGCGAGCACGCCUAGCUGCACAUCUGCAGCCUGGUGAAUAUCUGCUUGGAGACGCAGGGUAUCCCCUCGAGUCAUGGCUCCUAAUUCUAGUCCCUGGCAGUCAACCACGCAACACCUCCGAAGGCCGAUACUUAGGGAGCAUGUAUUCAUGCGCAAUGUUGUGGAAAGAUGUAUCGGAGUAUUGAAGAGCAAAUUCCGCUGCUUGCAGCACUUUGGAACGAUGCUUUACAACCCAAUCGAGCAGCGCAAAUCAUCUAUGCUUGCGUUGCUCUUCACAAAAUUGCGUUGCAUGCGGGCGACUGGACCUUGGACGAGUAUGUUGUGGACAUGUCACCAGCUCAGGAUGAGGAGCCAGAGGCGAACCAUACGCUCACACCAUGCAACAUGCUGCUCAGAAGACAGCAGCAGUGCAGGGCUGUCAUGGGCCUUUCUUGAAGUACACAGGAACGGCCCUCAGCUAUGGCCCGUGCCAAGGACGGGACCACCUGCAGGAUUCCCUCUUGCGCCAAUGCCACCUUCUCCUGUGUUGUUGCCAUAAGCCGUGCUGCAGAAGCGAUGUGGGUGGUCGAUGUUUUCAUCCCUCGCAGCACCUGUGAAGAAUCAUCAUGGUGGAAAUGUUUAGGUGAGCUGCCGGUGAACUCUUAACCAUCUCGUGGCGGGAAGCUGCUGCUGCCGAGAAUUAAACGGUCACAACAAUUUCCCCUCAAUUGAAUCUCCGCUGGCCUGAUGGAAUCCUUUGGAAGUAUGAAGCUCCGUGUACAAUAUGCCCUUUUCAUGCGGACCAACAAAUAUUUGCUGGAACUACUCUUCAUGUAUCUCUCCAAUUGCAUCUCUCACCAUCAAACAGCCCUUUUUAACGCCCAGCAAUUUACCAUUGCAGAUAUGCGAUAUCGUUUCCUCAAUACAAUGCAUGGUUCUUAUUUAGAGCCCAAGUUGGUUUCAGUCAUCAUAAUAGAGCAUGAAGAAUGUUUACGCCCUUUAUGUAAAAUGUAAAGAAAGAGUCUACUUACUCUGAGCACCUUGUCGCCCUGCUCAAGGCUCUGGUCCUGCAAUCAAUAAA